GUCGAGCGACAGAUAAGGAGCUUGCUCCUUUGACGUUAGCGGCGGACGGGUGAGUAACACGUGGAUAACCUACCUAUAAGACUGGGAUAACUUCGGGAAACCGGAGCUAAUACCGGAUAACAUAUUGAACCGCAUGGUUCAAUAGUGAAAGGCGGCUUUGCUGUCACUUAUAGAUGGAUCCGCGCCGUAUUAGCUAGUUGGUAAGGUGACGGCUUACCAAGGCAACGAUACGUAGCCGACCUGAGAGGGUGAUCGGCCACACUGGAACUGAGACACGGUCCAGACUCCUACGGGAGGCAGCAGUAGGGAAUCUUCCGCAAUGGGCGAAAGCCUGACGGAGCAACGCCGCGUGAGUGAUGAAGGUCUUCGGAUCGUAAAACUCUGUUAUCAGGGAAGAACAAAUGUGUAAGUAACUGUGCACAUCUUGACGGUACCUGAUCAGAAAGCCACGGCUAACUACGUGCCAGCAGCCGCGGUAAUACGUAGGUGGCAAGCGUUAUCCGGAAUUAUUGGGCGUAAAGCGCGCGUAGGCGGUUUUUUAAGUCUGAUGUGAAAGCCCACGGCUCAACCGUGGAGGGUCAUUGGAAACUGGAAAACUUGAGUGCAGAAGAGGAAAGUGGAAUUCCAUGUGUAGCGGUGAAAUGCGCAGAGAUAUGGAGGAACACCAGUGGCGAAGGCGACUUUCUGGUCUGUAACUGACGCUGAUGUGCGAAAGCGUGGGGAUCAAACAGGAUUAGAUACCCUGGUAGUCCACGCCGUAAACGAUGAGUGCUAAGUGUUAGGGGGUUUCCGCCCCUUAGUGCUGCAGCUAACGCAUUAAGCACUCCGCCUGGGGAGUACGACCGCAAGGUUGAAACUCAAAGGAAUUGACGGGGACCCGCACAAGCGGUGGAGCAUGUGGUUUAAUUCGAAGCAACGCGAAGAACCUUACCAAAUCUUGACAUCCUUUGACCGCUCUAGAGAUAGAGUCUUCCCCUUCGGGGGACAAAGUGACAGGUGGUGCAUGGUUGUCGUCAGCUCGUGUCGUGAGAUGUUGGGUUAAGUCCCGCAACGAGCGCAACCCUUAAGCUUAGUUGCCAUCAUUAA
rnacentral:rRNA from 1 species